UCGGACAACACAUGGAAACGUGUGCUAAUACCGAAUGAGCCCUUCGGGGGAAAGAUUUAUCGGAAUUGGAUGAGCCCGCGUUGGAUUAGCUAGUUGGUGGGGUAAAGGCCUACCAAGGCGACGAUCCAUAGCUGGUCUGAGAGGAUGAUCAGCCACACUGGGACUGAGACACGGCCCAGACUCCUACGGGAGGCAGCAGUGGGGAAUAUUGGACAAUGGGCGCAAGCCUGAUCCAGCCAUGCCGCGUGAGUGAUGAAGGUCUUAGGAUUGUAAAGCUCUUUCACCGGUGAAGAUAAUGACGGUAACCGGAGAAGAAGCCCCGGCUAACUUCGUGCCAGCAGCCGCGGUAAUACGAAGGGGGCUAGCGUUGUUCGGAUUUACUGGGCGUAAAGCGCACGUAGGCGGACUUUUAAGUCAGGGGUGAAAUCCCGGAGCUCAACCCCGGAACUGCCUUUGAUACUGGAAGUCUUGAGUUCGAGAGAGGUGAGUGGAAUUGCGAGUGUAGAGGUGAAAUUCGUAGAUAUUCGCAGGAACACCAGUGGCGAAGGCGGCUCACUGGCUCG
rnacentral:rRNA from 1 species